rnacentral:lncRNA from 1 species
AAAUAUAUUAUACAGACAAAACAAAACAGCCAAUUUGAUGUGCUGGAUUUAUUAUUUUAAAAUUGUAUAAAGAGCACAUGUGCAUGAGUUUAAAACACAAGUGAAAUGUAAAGAGUUAAAAAAGAAAUACAAAAGAAAUUUGAGGCAUGAAACAAAAAAAUACAUUCUGUGAAUUGAAAUAAAAGGUAUCCCACUUACUACAAAAAUUGUUAUUUCAAUAUAUUAAGCAGUCUUUUGAUUCGGAUGCAGCACAAGACUGAGUUAUUCGUUAUCAGGCAGGGUGGAUGUGAGUGGAGGUGGAGCAAUGUCCAUGAGGUAUCACCAUAAAUAAAUCCAUUAGCUCGUCAGUGACCAGCGAUGAGCAGAUCCACCAUUUCACUGUCAAGGAAACCCCAUCUCCACCAGUUUUCCUUGGAUUACUUGCAGUGAGGGUUCUUCACACUUAGAAAAAGAGUGGAGACAAACACUGAGUAGUGGUUGGACCCCAGUGCUAUGCUGCCUACCAGUUUCCCAAGUCAGUACUGAAGGUGACAGAGACACAGAAAGGCCAACAACAUGACAGUGGACAGAUUUAUUUUAGAGGGUCUCACGAAAUGACUAUGUCAUGUUGACAGCUUUGCCUCUUGUGUAUCCAGCUGCUGUGGCAUGCUUCGAGCUGACACAGACAGGGACACUGUGCUCAUCUGCUGUUGCCUGAGCCAGCAACCUAUUUGUCUGCCCUUGCUUCCAGAACCAGUGUCUGACUGCUUCUAUCCUGGUGGCUAUGGCCAGAAUUGCUGCUGCCCUUCCCUUGCUGACCACUGCCCUUGCUUGGAGGAUGCUGAAAUGACUUCCUUGUCAUUUGAAGAUGCUCACAAUGCCUAUGCUGGAGCCCACAGCUCUCCUAUCAGAAGCACUAAGACCCUGAGAAGCAUCCCUGUAGGAACUGCACAAGUUUCUGGGGUACAACUAGCCAGACCCGAGCUCAGGUCCCUACUUCAUGCUGUACCUCUUCACACAAGCUCCUCACCCACCUUCUCCAUCCAAAAGUGUGACAUGGAGGUAAUAGCAAUCCCAUACCUCACAGGAUCACGGUCCUCAAAACAUGAUUAGGUGGUUG